CUAGCCCCCGAGAGUGGGCGGGACUCCUCUGGGGACAGAGUUCUCCGAGGCCGGCAGGGAGUCCCUGACCUUACCAGGGUUCGACCGGAGGGUGAACUUCCGGUCCUGACACCCAGAGGAUGAAUAUGUCCCCAGUGAUGAUAUCCCUUACCUUUUUCCAGCUGUGAACAAAAUAAGACAACAGCUCUGUACAGGAAGUUGGAAUGUUGUGGAUCCAGAGCCAAAUUUUCUUUGGCUAUGUUUAGUCUGCUUGAUAGCCACUCAUUGACCUCCUCUUAUAGGACCCAACAUCCUUUGGACUAUCAGGGUUUCUCCUAUUUAGAAAACUACUUUCCAUCAAUGACUCUCAAGAAUUCCAGAGCACCAAGAUGUCAAUGUACACAGAAGUGGAGGAAAAUUACUUGGGAUGGCCAAACUAGAUUUUGAAGCAGUAACUUUAAGAGGGGAUUGGUACUGGGAGUCCCCAAGGAUGCUUAUGUGUCUGUACACAAUAUCUAGACAUUCUAAAUCAUCACUCAUGACUUAAUUGAGUGCAAGGU